rnacentral:rRNA from 1 species
AUUGAACGCUGGCGGAAUGCUUUACACAUGCAAGUCGAACGGCAGCACGGGGGCAACCCUGGUGGCGAGUGGCGAACGGGUGAGUAAUACGUCGGAACGUGCCCGGUCGUGGGGGAUAACGUAGCGAAAGUUACGCUAAUACCGCAUACGAUCUGAGGAUGAAAGCGGGGGACCUUCGGGCCUCGCGCGAUCGGAGCGGCCGAUGUCAGAUUAGGUAGUUGGUGGGGUAAAGGCCUACCAAGCCGACGAUCUGUAGCUGGUCUGAGAGGACGACCAGCCACACUGGGACUGAGACACGGCCCAGACUCCUACGGGAGGCAGCAGUGGGGAAUUUUGGACAAUGGGCGCAAGCCUGAUCCAGCCAUUCCGCAUGCAGGACGAAGGCCUUCGGGUUGUAAACUGCUUUUGUAUGGAACGAAAAGGCUCUGGCUAAUACCUGGGGCUCAUGACGGUACCGUAAGAAUAAGCACCGGCUAACUACGUG